rnacentral:lncRNA from 1 species
AUGAAGCCAGCUCCCCAGGGUCAGCCCAGCCCUGAGGAGGGCGGGCAGAGGGUGGGGGCGGUGCCCGGGCCUGGCCCAGGUGGUGGGAUGGGCGGGGCACCUGCCCAGGCUCUGCCCGCCUGUGCCCGACUCGCUUGCCCAUCACUUCGUCCUCGCCAUCCCGUGGCCGUCCUCAUCUCUGUCCUCGCGGUCACCGUCCAAGGUAGGUCUGGGGAGCUCGCCCCUGUGCUGAGCAGAGACUCUGGGGCCCGCCCAGGUCCCACUGGGCUGACCUGGACCCCCCCACCCCGCAACCCCCAAGGCGCCCUUGCCUGUCCGUCUUUGGGCUUCCUCCUGUGCCAAGGGGCCGGCCAAACCGGUGGAGAGGCCCCCUCCAUCCGCCGGCUGGCUGCGAGGGGAACCGCGUCCGUGUGCCGUGCGCGCCGCCCGUCCGCAGAGAUUGCCGAGCGAGCGAGCGCUGUGCGCCGAGGCCGGGGGCGCGCGGCGGCGCGGCUGCGGCUCCUCGCAGGUAGGGCUGGCGGCGGCGGGCUCAGGGGCUGCGGACGGGCCUGCCGGCCCCCCGCCCCCAGCCUCGGGUGGGGGGGGGGGGGGGUGCCGCGCCCACGUGACUCAGAACCUGCGCCGCCAGGUGGGGUGCUGGAACUCGGGUUCUCUGGGAGGAAGCCCCUCUCGCCCCCACUGGCUAUCCCCCAGGUCUCACCCGCUCCUGGUAGAUCCUCCCAGGAGCCCUUUCAGCAGCCAGAGGCAGGCAGUGUCACACUCCUGGCCGCCCCUGCCCACACUUCCCAGGUCAAGGAAGCCAGUCCCCUGGCUCCCAGUUUCAGUGAUGGGGGCGGGGGUUGGGGGACAGCAAGGGGCUCCCUGGACCCCCAGUGGGCUGGAGCAGGGGGAUGCAAGGAGCGGCCUUCCCUCCCUUCACUUGCUGGUGGGGUCUCGAGUCUGAACCUGUGGCUUUGCCAGGUGGCCCAUACACUGGCAGACACUGGCCAGACACUCAGGCAAGUUGGAGGAGGCACAAGGCAGCAAGCAGGAGGCUGCAGGGGCCCCAAGUCCUGGAUCAGCUAG